CGGAAGGUCAUUACCGAGUGCGGGCCCCUCGGGGCCCAACCUCCCACCCGUGUUGCCCGAACCUAUGUUGCCUCGGCGGGCCCCGCGCCCGCCGACGGCCCCCCUGAACGCUGUCUGAAGUUGCAGUCUGAGACCUAUAACGAAAUUAGUUAAAACUUUCAACAACGGAUCUCUUGGUUCCGGCAUCGAUGAAGAACGCAGCGAAAUGCGAUAACUAAUGUGAAUUGCAGAAUUCAGUGAAUCAUCGAGUCUUUGAACGCACAUUGCGCCCUCUGGUAUUCCGGAGGGCAUGCCUGUCCGAGCGUCAUUGCUGCCCUCAAGCCCGGCUUGUGUGUUGGGCCCCGUCCCCCCCGCCGGGGGGACGGGCCCGAAAGGCAGCGGCGGCACCGCGUCCGGUCCUCGAGCGUAUGGGGCUUCGUCACCCGCUCUAGUAGGCCCGGCCGGCGCCAGCCGACCCCCAACCUUUAAUUAUCUCAGGUUGACCUCGGAUCAGGUAGGGAUACCCGCUGAACUUAAGCAUAUCAAUAAGCGGAGGAAAAGAAACCAACCGGGAUUGCCCUAGUAACGGCGAGUGAAGCGGCAAGAGCUCAAAUUUGAAAGCUGGCCCCCUCGGGGUCCGCAUUGUAAUUUGCAGAGGAUGCUUCGGGAACGGCCCCCAUCUAAGUGCCCUGGAACGGGCCGUCAUAGAGGGUGAGAAUCCCGUCUGGGAUGGGGUGGCCGCGCCCGUGUGAAGCUCCUUCGACGAGUCGAGUUGUUUGGGAUGCAGCUCU
rnacentral:rRNA from 1 species